UGCAGUCGAACGAUGAAGCCCAGCUUGCUGGGUGGAUUAGUGGCGAACGGGUGAGUAACACGUGAGUAACCUGCCCUUAACUCUGGGAUAAGCCUGGGAAACUAGGUCUAAUACCGGAUAGGAGCGCCUACCGCAUGGUGGGUGUUGGAAAGAUUUAUCGGUUUUGGAUGGACUCGCGGCCUAUCAGCUUGUUGGUGAGGUAAUGGCUCACCAAGGCGACGACGGGUAGCCGGCCUGAGAGGGUGACCGGCCACACUGGGACUGAGACACGGCCCAGACUCCUACGGGAGGCAGCAGUGGGGAAUAUUGCACAAUGGGCGAAAGCCUGAUGCAGCGACGCCGCGUGAGGGAUGACGGCCUUCGGGUUGUAAACCUCUUUCAGUAGGGAAGAAGCGAAAGUGACGGUACCUGCAGAAGAAGCACCGGCUAACUACGUGCCAGCAGCCGCGGUAAUACGUAGGGUGCGAGCGUUAUCCGGAAUUAUUGGGCGUAAAGAGCUCGUAGGCGGUUUGUCGCGUCUGUCGUGAAAGUCCGGGGCUUAACCCCGGAUCUGCGGUGGGUACGGGCAGACUAGAGUGCAGUAGGGGAGACUGGAAUUCCUGGUGUAGCGGUGGAAUGCGCAGAUAUCAGGAGGAACACCGAUGGCGAAGGCAGGUCUCUGGGCUGUAACUGACGCUGAGGAGCGAAAGCAUGGGGAGCGAACAGGAUUAGAUACCCUGGUAGUCCAUGCCGUAAACGUUGGGCACUAGGUGUGGGGACCAUUCCACGGUUUCCGCGCCGCAGCUAACGCAUUAAGUGCCCCGCCUGGGGGAGUACGGCCGCAAGGCUAAAACUCAAAGGAAUUGACGG
rnacentral:rRNA from 1 species